rnacentral:lncRNA from 1 species
CUGACCCCAAAGAAGGAACUUCGUUUUGAAGUUUAGUCCUUGUUCCUGAAAGCUGAUAAAAAUCCUCAAAUGGUAUUCCCAGAAUUUGGAAACAUACUUGAAAAUGGUAACAUCUAAAAUUGAAGUUGAAAGGAAUCAACAUACAAGGUUUGGAAUCCUCCUGCAGCCCUGACCCAGGCAUUGUAAUUAAGUUGCUUAUUAGAUUAGAGGUUUUCCAAAGUUCCUCUUGGAUUCACAUUUUUCCCAAAUCUAGUCAAGAAGAUUAAAAUGUAACUCUUUUAAAAUAAACUGUUCUUCUAUUUAUUAAAACAUAAGUGACCUCAUAAUGAAACCUAGAACAAAAGGAGUAAACAGGAAGAAUUUGACACUCCAGCUGCCUCCAGUUCCACUGGCUAGUUUAGGAAAGACUAUCAGAUACAUGCUAUCAAAUUACUUUUGUAAUUUUCUGCCUGUUGGUUGCUGUUUUUCUUGUUUACUAAUUGACUUACUACCUCCCACCUCUGGAAUGUAAGCACCUUUCAGGAUAGGUACCUUGUUCACAGCUGUAUUCCUGAUUGCUAAAACAGUACUUGGCACCUGCAACACCCUCAACACAUAUUUGUUGAAUAAGUAAGUAUGCCCAGUUAUUACCUCUUGAUGAUGCCAUCUAUUAAGAUCAUACAACUCUGUUUACUUUGAUUCUUAAGUCACUAAGCAAGCUUUUCAUAUUUGUUCAAAUUCUCAAGCAUAAUAUUCAAAUCGGCCAACAUGAGAAUUCGAAUGAACUUGAAAAUCCCAUUUCUUAUUGUAACCUGUUGUGAUUAGUGAUUAAUGGAUUAACUCCCAUUAUGAAGGUCUGGGG